AUUUGCCUACCCAACACUCACCUUUCCUCCACCCUGCUCCAACUUCCUUCUCUCCAAGAGAAUGUCCAUUUUGUUCAUGACCCACCCUCCAUCAAAGGGCAGAUACAACAGAGGCCCUACAGCUGGACUUCCAACUACGUAUUUGGAAGCCCAGGGGAUUCUAAUUCCAUCAAAAUUUGAGAGGCACUGACUUCCAAGGCCACAGCCAUAAACCUUCACCACCACUUACUAGGCAAUGUUUCACCUUUCUGGACCCGUUUACGCAUCUGUGUAGUCGUCCUAUCUAACCUGCAGGUCUACAGCGGACUGAAGGCAAAUCACAUGUGGGGUGAAACGGCUUCUCUAAUCCAGUAUUUUCAUAUUGCUGCGAUGUGCAUUAAGUAGAUACAAAAAUAAGCAAAUUAGGGUUGGCAGAGACGUUGGCUUUAAUGGUAAAAUUAACGGAAAUGAUGAAUGGUAGGACGAUGCCUUCUCUACCUUGAGCCACUGAGCUUCCACUCCUCUCAGGAUCAUGGCAUGACUUGAGGUGAUGACCCUCAGCUACUCUGGUCACACUGUUGUGAAAACGCCUAGAAAAGUUAAAAACAUGAGUGUUGGGAAAGAGGAGAUUUGGAUGAGGGCCCUAAAUUCACUUUUUGGACCAAGGUAUGUUUUACUGGCAAACACUUUCAGUAAUGUCUGCAUGUGCAACAGAAACAUUUCCCUCGACGCUCUAAAAAGAAGAAAAAGAAAAGAAGAGAAAGACGACGCGGGCCAUCGGCCUCAAGUGGAGUUCACGAAGUUGGGAGCGCUGACAGACACCUAACUUGGGAGCUCCGGGGCCCGUAGGGCGCACAGGACGCCCAAUCUCGUCACAGGCAGAAACCAACCUCCUCCAGCCCUUCACUUGCCCAAC
rnacentral:lncRNA from 1 species